CCUACGGGAGGCUGCAGUGGGGAAUAUUGCACAAUGGGGGAAACCCUGAUGCAGCAACGCCGCGUGGGUGAAGGAGCGUUUCGGCGCGUAAAGCCCUGUCAGCGGGGGCGAAGAACGACGGUACCCGACCAAGAAGCCCCGGCUAACUACGUGCCAGCAGCCGCGGUAAUACGUAGGGGGCGAGCGUUAUCCGGAUUUAUUGGGUUUAAAGGGUGCGUAGGCGGAUCGUUAAGUCAGUGGUCAAAUUGAGGGGCUCAACCCCUUCCCGCCAUGGAAACUGGCGUUCUUGAGUGGAAGAGAAGUAUGCGGAAUGCGUGGUGUAGCGGUGAAAUGCAUAGAUAUCACGCAGAACCCCGAUUGCGAAGGCAGCAUGCCGGCUUCCGACUGACGCUGAAGCACGAAAGCGUGGGGAUCGAACAGGAUUAGAUACCCGGGUAGUC
rnacentral:rRNA from 1 species